rnacentral:rRNA from 1 species
CAUUACCGAAGUUAUUCAACUCAUCAACCCUGUGAACAUACCUAAACGUUUGCUUCGGCGGGAAUAGACGGCCCCGUGAAACGGGCCGCCCCCGCCAGAGGACCCUUAACUCUGUUUCUAUAAUGUUUCUUCUGAGUAAAACAAGCAAAUAAAUUAAAACUUUCAACAACGGAUCUCUUGGCUCUGGCAUCGAUGAAGAACGCAGCGAAAUGCGAUAAGUAAUGUGAAUUGCAGAAUUCAGUGAAUCAUCGAAUCUUUGAACGCACAUUGCGCCCGCCAGUAUUCUGGCGGGCAUGCCUGUUCGAGCGUCAUUACAACCCUCAGGCCCCCGGGCCUGGCGUUGGGGAUCGGCGGAGCCCCCCGUGGGCACACGCCGUCCCCCAAAUACAGUGGCGGUCCCGCCGCAGCUUCCAUCGCGUAGUAGCUAACACCUCGCGACUGGAGAGCGGCGCGGCCACGCCGUAAAACACCCAACUCUUCUGAAGUUGACCUCGAAUCAGGUAGGAAUACCCGC